GCAGUGGUGGUUCAGUGGUAGAACUCUGCCUUCUGUGUGGGAGACCCAGGUUUGAUUCCCAGCCAAUGCU
rnacentral:tRNA from 1 species